rnacentral:tRNA from 1 species
GAGAUAAUAGUAUAGGAUUUUAGUAUGUUUCUUUUUCGANGGGGGUUUAUCUUGUUUGG